rnacentral:rRNA from 1 species
AUGCAAGUCGAGGGGCAGCACGGUGUAGCAAUACACUGGUGGCGACCGGCGCACGGGUGCGUAACGCGUAUGCAACCUACCCAUAACAGGGGGAUAACACUGAGAAAUUGGUACUAAUACCCCAUAACAUCAGGACCGGCAUCGGUUCUGGUUGAAAACUCCGGUGGUUAUGGAUGGGCAUGCGUUGUAUUAGCUGGUUGGUGAGGUAACGGCUCACCAAGGCAACGAUACAUAGGGGGACUGAGAGGUUAACCCCCCACAUUGGUACUGAGACACGGACCAAACUCCUACGGGAGGCAGCAGUGAGGAAUAUUGGUCAAUGGACGCAAGUCUGAACCAGCCAUGCCGCGUGCAGGAAGACGGCUCUAUGAGUUGUAAACUGCUUUUGUACGAGAGUAAACGCUCUUACGUGUAAGAGCCUGAAAGUAUCGUACGAAUAAGGAUCGGCUAACUCCGUGCCAGCAGCCGCGGUAAUACGGAGGAUCCAAGCGUUAUCCGGAUUUAUUGGGUUUAAAGGGUGCGUAGGCGGUUUGAUAAGUUAGAGGUGAAAUACCGGUGCUUAACACCGGAACUGCCUCUAAUACUGUUGAACUAGAGAGUAGUUGCGGUAGGCGGAAUGUAUGGUGUAGCGGUGAAAUGCUUAGAGAUCAUACAGAACACCGAUUGCGAAGGCAGCUUACCAAACUAUAUCUGACGUUGAGGCACGAAAGCGUGGGGAGCAAACAGGAUUAGAUACCCUGGUAGUCCACGCAGUAAACGAUGAUAACUCGCUGUCGGCGAUACACAGUCGGCGGCUAAGCGAAAGCGAUAAGUUAUCCACCUGGGGAGUACGUUCGCAAG